rnacentral:rRNA from 1 species
GACGAACGCUGGCGGCGUGCCUAAUACAUGCAAGUAGAACGCUGAAGGAGGAGCUUGCUUCUCUGGAUGAGUUGCGAACGGGUGAGUAACGCGUAGGUAACCUGCCUGGUAGCGGGGGAUAACUAUUGGAAACGAUAGCUAAUACCGCAUAAGAGUAGAUGUUGCAUGACAUUUGCUUAAAAGGUGCAAUUGCAUCACUACCAGAUGGACCUGCGUUGUAUUAGCUAGUUGGUGGGGUAACGGCUCACCAAGGCGACGAUACAUAGCCGACCUGAGAGGGUGAUCGGCCACACUGGGACUGAGACACGGCCCAGACUCCUACGGGAGGCAGCAGUAGGGAAUCUUCGGCAAUGGACGGAAGUCUGACCGAGCAACGCCGCGUGAGUGAAGAAGGUUUUCGGAUCGUAAAGCUCUGUUGUAAGAGAAGGACGAGUGUGAGAGUGGAAAGUUCACACUGUGACGGUAUCUUACCAGAAAGGGACGGCUAACUACGUG